UCUAAUAAGAAACAGAGGGAGAAGAAAGACAGUGAAUUGGUUGGAAGGGGAAAGGGUUUUCAAACUCUUGUUCUUCAAAGUUCUACUAUCAAUUGAAUCGGUGGAGAUUGAGAGGCAAACACGGUAGUCCCGAAGCCCGUUGGAGGUUCUUCAAAGCCAUACACUGUGUCGACCUACACAAAACAGAGAGAGGAUCUUGCUAUGAGAGGCAAAUGGUACACUCAUCUUUUCGGCGGCAAGACUAAUUUGACUUUGGCGGUGUGAUUAGAGUGGCUGUGGGUAAUUUCACUCUACCUAAAACCCUAAUCCAACAAAGAAAGAGAAAAGAAUUUGAAGAACAAUCAAAAAAUCUAAAGGGUUCUCUCAGAAUUCUGAUUCCAAUCUUUCUUGGCUCUUACAGAUUUGGUAUUUUUACAUUUGAAAUGAGGUCUGCUAAAAUUUUAUUUUAUUUUGUUUUUUUAUAUAUUUCAGUUGACAAUUAAUGAAAUAAUCGAUGAAUAUUCUCAGGCAUUGGGUUUUUUACAUUGAUUAGUGUAAUAUUUUGGAGCCAUACUUUUUCUUGUAGGGUGUAAAAAAUGUCAUAUUGUUUUGGCAUUAGAUUUAUAGAUCUAAUUAUGUUCUUUGAAUUUUGAUGAUGUUUGUAAAAAUGCAUUAAAUUGUUAGCAAUUUAAACAAAAAUAUUUUGGAACUAUAUUUUCAUUGUGAAAACUCAUGAUUGAUUUAAUUCAUUCAUGCCGUUGUUUGUUUUCAAUGAAAAUAGUAACAGAAACAAAAAACCAAAAUUUGAAAUUUUUUUCAUUCUUCGUCCUGUCAUGAUAAUGCAAUUAUUUUGGUUGAAUUAAGGCGAAAGCUAUAUUCUUGUAUUACAUUUUCGUUUCGUUACAAAUUUAUUGUCGUUAAUUUUUUUUCUUGUUGCUGUGAACUUGAAUGAAUUUGAAUUCAAUUCUAAAUGGCGACACUGGAUUUUGUUCUGUUUUGUGAUCUGUGCUAGUUGAGAAAAAUUAAACAUAUCUGAAAAAUGUUACACAGCACUCUAAUUAUGGAUUUUUGAGCUUUCCCAUUAGGUUGAAGUUAUGCUGUUUGAUUACGUGUGUUCUCUCUUACUUGCUGUCAUGGAAUUCAAUGUGACAUCUGCACUUUGGGAAUGGUAGUUGCUCUUGGUCGUCUUUAGCAUGCAAAUGGAGUUAAACUCUUUGUUCUUGAUGCUCAUUAUCUUAUAUAAUUUUUGGAUUUCAUUGGAACCUAUCAUAUGGUAUAAAACGUAGUUACAAUUCCCGUAAAAGUAUAGAACUUGGUUCCAAAAUGGUAUCUUUAUGCCAGGUAGAAUUGUAGUGGCAGUAAUUGUGAGAGGGGGUUGAAGGUUUCAUAUCUCGUUGACUGUUGUGGUUAUCUUAGUGUUUGUAAAUGAUUAUGAGUUACCAAAGGUAGGGUGAGGUGGUUUACUUUGAAGAAGUGAUAUUGUAGUACUGAAGUUCAUUUGUGGUGUUGGGUUAAGAUAGUGCCUAAAUGGUGGUGGUAAUGAUGGCUAUUGUUGUGGCAAUACAUUGUGGUUCUUGAGAUGAAGGCAUCAACAAUGACCACUUUUGUCACAUUGACCACUUUUCACUGUCUAAUUUACUACAAAAAUAUUAGAAAUUCUAUAAA